GUCUUUUUGAAAAUAAUUUAAAGUCUAACCUGCCAUGUGAAAAUUUAGCGGCCGCAGUAUUUUGACUGUGCGAAGGUAGCAUAAUCAAUAGUUUUUUAAUUGAAAACUGGAAUGAAAGGUUGAAUAAGAAAUUAACUGUAUCAAUUUUAAUAAUUUAGAAUUUUAUUUUUAAGUUAAAAAGCUUAAAUUUAAUUUAAAGACGAGAAGACCCUAUAGAAUUUAAUAAUUUUUUUAUUUAUUUAUUUAAAGAUUAAAUUUUAAUAAAUUAAAAUAUUAUUUAAUUGGGGUGAUUAUAAAAUUUAUAAAACUUUUAUUAAAUAUUUCAAAAAUUUUUGUUUUUUUGAUCCAUAUUAAUGAUUAUAAGAAUAAAUUACCUUAGGGAUAACAGCGUAAUUUUAUUUGAGAGUUCUUAUUGAAAAUAAAGAUUGCGACCUCGAUGUUGGAUUAAAAAUAGUUUUAGGUGAAGAAGUUUAAUAACUAAGUCUGUUCGACUUUUAAAUUUUUACA
rnacentral:rRNA from 1 species